UACGUAGGAGACGAGCGUUGUCCGGAGUUACUGGGCGUAAAGGGUGCGCAGGUGGCGGCGCGCGUGGGGGGUGAAAUCGCCCGGCUUAACUGGGCGGGGGCCUUCCAGACGGCGUGGCUUGAGCAGCGGAGGGGGACGUGGAAUUCCGGGUGGAGCGGUGAAAUGCGUAGAUAUCGGGAGGAAUACCAGUGGCGAAGGCGGCUUCCUGGCCUGUUCUUGACGCUGAGGCGCGAAAGCUAGGGUAGCAAACGGG
rnacentral:rRNA from 1 species